rnacentral:rRNA from 1 species
UACGUAGGGGGCAAGCGUUGUCCGGAUUUAUUGGGCGUAAAGAGCGUGUAGGCGGCCGUACAGGUCAGCUGUGAAAACUCGAGGCUCAACCUCGAGACGUCGGUUGAAACCGUACGGCUAGAGUCCGGAAGAGGAGAGUGGAAUUCCCGGUGUAGCGGUGAAAUGCGCAGAUAUCGGGAAGAACACCCGUGGCGAAGGCGGCUCUCUGGGCUGUAACUGACGCUGAGGCGCGAAAGCGUGGGGAGCAAACAGG